AUUGAACGCUGGCGGCAGGCCUAACACAUGCAAGUCGAGCGGAUGAGAGGAGCUUGCUUCUCGAUUCAGCGGCGGACGGGUGAGUAAUGCCUAGGAAUCUGCCUGGUAGUGGGGGACAACGUUUCGAAAGGAACGCUAAUACCGCAUACGUCCUACGGGAGAAAGCAGGGGACCUUCGGGCCUUGCGCUAUCAGAUGAGCCUAGGUCGGAUUAGCUAGUUGGUGAGGUAAUGGCUCACCAAGGCGACGAUCCGUAACUGGUCUGAGAGGAUGCUCAGUCACACUGGAACUGAGACACGGUCCAGACUCCUACGGGAGGCAGCAGUGGGGAAUAUUGGACAAUGGGCGAAAGCCUGAUCCAGCCAUGCCGCGUGUGUGAAGAGGGUCUUCGGAUUGUAAAGCACUUUAAGUUGGGAGGAAGGGUUGUAGAUUAAUACUCUGCAAUUUUGACGUUACCGACAGAAUAAGCACCGGCUAACUCUGUGCCAGCCGCCGCAGUAAUAC
rnacentral:rRNA from 1 species